AGUCAUCACCAAGAGGCAAGAGAAGCCCAAAGAACCGCCCAGAGAAGCAGAUUGCUCACCAGAGCUGCAGGCAGUGCUUUUCCACCAAGAUGCUUUCCUCAAACGCAAGGACCAGGCAGCUAAAUGGCACUUGUGCCAGCUCGGUGGACAUGGAGCUCUUCCUCCAUUACUCCCUCAUCCCAUCACUUUUCAUCAUUUUGGUCUUGUCCCUUCUCCAAAGACGAGAGCACCAUAGACAGAGAGAUGACGCUUCUUACCUCCUGGGAAACCGCUUCAGAAUGAUCAUACCUCUGGACUUCGUGGGCACUUUUCGUAACCGAUGGUCCUAUGGAGUAGCCUUUGGGGCUACAGCCAAUAAGGUCAUGUUCUUAUUCUCAGAAGGCUACAAGCCCCUGCAAGUCCCACAAUGGGCCCAAGCCUUUGUGCUUCUGAUCGGAGGCAUCGAAGUCGGCCUGUCCCACUUCCCCUUCUUUGCUUGCCUCUCGUCGGAGUUCCGGCUGGUCAGCUCCAUCCUGGGGUUCAGCUACUCUCUGAUCUGGUUUGCUGUCACCACCCUUCACAUCACACAGUGUCCCCAUGGGCAGUUUGUGGGGAAGUAUGAGACUGUUGUGUUCUACUGGCCCUCGCUGCUCUGCCUGGCCUUCCUUCUGGGCCGCUUCCUGUACAUGUUUGUCAAGUCUCUGAGGGUCCACCUGGGCUGGGAGCUCCAGACGGAAGAAAAGCCUUUCCUGGAAGUUCACCAGGCAGAGCAUGUCAAACAGCUCCUGAGGAAGUGCCCCCUGCAAGAGAGAGAAAAGUCUUGGUUCCAAACCAGGAUCUAUGAGUGGGACCCUUACUUUCAGUUCCCAAGCAGGAUGAUUGGAACCACUGUGUUGGCUUUCAUCUGCCUGUACCUUUUCAUUGUCAUUGAGUUCUGCAUGUUCGUGUAUGUGAGAGAUGAGCUGGAUGUGUUUGAAGGCGAAUUGGAGAGCUACGUCGCCUCCAUGAACCGGACGGGUACCCUGACCCCAGUCCUCCUGCAGGUGAAAGAGCUGAUUAACGUCACCAAAGGAGUCUGGGUGGUGACCAUCUUGCCUGCCUCCCUCACGUGUGUGAGCUACCUGUUUCACAUCUUGGCUUGUUACAGGAAGCAAAUGAAGAGGUUGUGGGCAGGAGAUAAACACUUUCUCCCUUUGAAGUUCCAUAAUCCUUCCUCGUCAGAGAGUGUGGUGGCCAUUGCAAGGUACUCUGGCUGGCAGAUAGCUUAUAUUCUGUGGGGCUACCUCAUCAUCCACGUGAUGCAGAGCCUGUGUGGCCUAGUGAUCAUGUACAGCCUGGUGCUACCUGUCAUCCACAAUCAGACCCUGGAGAUGCUCCGAGGACUGGGCAUCGGGAUCCUCACCAUAUCCAUCGUCCUGGGCCUCAUGGUCCUGCAGGUAUGGAUCGCCGCCAGCUUCUUCCUGCAACCAAAGAUGGGAGCAGCUGACAAGCAGAAGCCCUUGGCUCUCAAUAACAGGAGAGCAUUCCACAACUUCAACUACUUUCUGUUCUUCUACAACGUGCUGCUGGGCCUGGGCGCCUGCCUCUCCAGGCUUCUCAUCAGCUGCAUCCUGGGCACGUGGCUGAUAGCCCGCAUCGACAGGACCAUUCUGCAGAGUGGCUGUGAGAGAGCAGACAUGGGGUUCAGUGCGUGGAUUGGCAUGCUCUAUGUGGAUCAUUAUCACACCAACCCUGUGCUCGUCAGCUUUUGUCACAUCCUGAUCACAGGCCACAGAGAGAGGAGGCUGCAGCAGGCCAUCAAAUACUGGUACCCAAAUCAGUCAGCAGGUCCCCGCACCUCAGUGAGGUCCAGGACAAGGUGGCUCCUGCUGCAGACCCUGAUCAACAACCCCAGACUGGUCACGCUCAGAAAAUCAAGGCCAGGUCAUGGCUCCCGGGACUUACCCAGAUUCUGUUGAUGUGCUCGGAGAGCUGACGUUGACCUCCCACAUUGCGACAAGGCCAUUCCAGGACAUCUGCCCCUGAGGAGGCCCAGGCUACCCAGCAGCUGUCCCCUGCAGUGUGACGGGAUGCACAGGCGCUGUCCACACAGACGGCAUACAGGCCAGCAAUUCAUGGGAUGGCACUUGGGCUGAACAAUGAAGUCUCAGGUCUAAUUCAUUCCCUUGGUAAAAAGAUCAAGAACUAAAGAGAAUUUCUCUUGAACAAACUUUGCCCAAUAAUGAUUUCCACUAUCCAUGGUUAGGAGGCAGCCCUGGGGAGAUCCAUGUUGAGACACACUUAAUGUAGCCACAGGGCAGAACUUUGUGUCACUGAAAGAGGUGGUAAAUUUUUUUAUAUCAGGAGAGUUUAACCAUGUGGCACAGUUUUUCUCUGGGAGAAAGUAUGGCCUUAGUCCAACAGGGUCCUCGUUGUUUCCUCCUUUCUAGGUCUUAUGGUGGUGGGAGAGAAGGAAUCCACGAUCCCAGCCUCCAGUCUGGUGGACAGGGAGACCAAGGCCUCAGUCAGGAAGAGACUUGGAGGAACCCACAUCUCUUUCUCCAUGGUACCAUCUGAGGGGAAGGCUGACUCCAGCUCCAGACCAAAAUCUCCUGCAUCUCUGCUGCUUCGCCAGCUAGGAAACCGGGAUGGGUGUCUUAUGUCCCUGAUCCAGCCAUUUGGACCCAAGGCUAGGCAGCCCGUUCGUCCACUUGGUCCGUGGGAGUCCCCUGCAGUGCCCAUCCUUGGUGAAGGCAGGGUGCCCUCUCCUGGGAGAUGGAGGGAAGACCAGAGGAGCAGCAGCGGCCCGGCUUCCUGAGGACAGGCUAGGCUGGUUUAGUGAAGAAAGGAACUCCCACCCGCCCCACCAGCCUGGAAGAAGCUAAAUGCCAGCGGGAUGGACCAGCAUGGAAGCCAGACACCUGCUGAUUCUGCCAGUUCAGCAUCGCCUCCUGGAACAGCCAGCUGUUGCCACUUUAUCCCAUUACCAGGGCCUCCUGCCCCCAAACUGUCCCCCACCUGCCCACGGACCAAACAGACCCCUCUUCCUGUUAAUCUAGACAAGACAAAACUGGAAUUUUUCAAAGAUACCUUAAGUGAGAAAUGAAACGGCACGCGUCUCGUGCCCCUCUCCCUCUCUCUUUCUAGACUUCCAGACUCCACUCUGCCUCGAUGAGCAGCUCCCAGCUCUAUGGUGAGUGGAGGUGCUCGGCAGAGCAGAGAGGAUGGCGUGCAGUGAGGAGGAGUUCCUGAGGUUCAGCAUUCCUGGGGAAGAAGAUGGACGAUGGACUGUGGAAGAGGAAGGAAAAGGAUGAAGUUCAAGUCAAGAGACAUUUUCAAAGUGAAGACUGAGGGGGAAGAUACAACGUUGAGGUGCAGGAAAAAGAGUCCAAAGGCUUGGCUUCACUCCUUCCAUUCCCUGUCUCUCACCUCCUUGCCCAUCUCUAACACGGGAGGUGGACUCACCAGAUAAUCUCUAGCUGGUUAUUCUUUCCAGUUAGAACAUUGUAGAGUUAGGAGGGUAAUACAAAUGCCAUCCAAAAGCCAAACACAAAUUUCCAUGUUUGAUCCAAACUCAAAUACAAAAGCCCAGAAACUUGGGAAUUAAGGAAGGUAAAUUCUCAGUGGUGAUAUUAUGGGUUAUUUUUAUUUUCGCCAUUCAAUUUUUUUUUCUAUUUUAAACAAUGUGUGUUGCUUACUUGGAACCCAGAAAGCAUCUAUGAGCAGGGAAAACACAGUUUCUGAUGUAGAAGGGCCAAGCCAACAGGGCCUCUUAGACAAGACAGAGAUCUCGCUAACUGCAAAUAAUUCCUGCACACUUCCUAUUUUUUAUUGUGUUUUUCACCCUUAACCUCACUUAAAUAUACUUUCUCUGUUUCCAGCUAAAAUUAGUCCAAUCACUUGUUACAAUAUUUCACCUUGUUAAUAAAACCUGGGACCAAAGAAGGGGAAUAAAAGGGUUUCUAUUCA